UACGUAGGGCGCAAGCGUGAUCCGGAAUUAUUGGGCGUAAAGAGCUCGUAGGCGGUUUGUCGCGUCUGCCGUGAAAGUCCGGGGCUCAACUCCGGAUCUGCGGUGGGUACGGGCAGACUAGAGUGAUGUAGGGGAGACUGGAAUUCCUGGUGUAGCGGUGAAAUGCGCAGAUAUCAGGAGGAACACCGAUGGCGAAGGCAGGUCUCUGGGCAUUAACUGACGCUGAGGAGCGAAAGCAUGGGGAGCGAACAGG
rnacentral:rRNA from 1 species